GAGGGUGAACCACGAUACACAGG
rnacentral:piRNA from 1 species